rnacentral:lncRNA from 1 species
AUGCCAGGGUGGCACAAAGGCUGUCCCACAUUUGUCCCCCCCAGCCGUGGGGCUGUGUCUGGCGUCCUUUGUCCACCAGGAAGGAUGUGGCAUUGUGUUUCCACUCGCACCCCCUCCUCACCCUGGAGAAGAGUCCGCGGAGAUGAUGUUUUUUCCCAGCCAAAGGUGCUGACGAGGCUGGGGGGAGCCCGGCCGAGCUGUCGCCGCUGCUCGGGCUCAGCUAAGCCCGUGUGGUCGCAGCCAGACCUCUGGAGACACCUCGGUGCUCGCUGGUGUCACAGUGACCCGGAGUGGGGCUCGGGGUGCAGGGAGUCCAUCAGCAGCGCGUCCCGGGGCCCGGACCAUGUUCCCGGAGGUGCAGCCAGCAUCUUCCCUCUGUCCAGCACGCAGGUAAAUGCUCCGUGCGGGGUGACCCAAAAAUGCAGACACUGCAACAGAAAUGUCCCUCCUUUGGUGGCGCCUGCAACCAGCCCGGGCUCGGGGUGCCCCCCCGGGCACAGAGAAACCCCCAGCCCUGCCCGCGGGCCGGGGGCUGGCACAGGGGAGGUGAAGCGAUGUGCCCAAGAGCACAGCGAGCAGCGGCGUCGGAGGAGGGAAAGACUCCUUCAGAGGGGUCCUGCCCACCUCCCCCGAAGGAGUCUGGCCCGGGGGGAUCGUCCGGAGAGGGAACGAGAGCACCGAUGCCGCUGGGCGCCGGGGAGGGAAGGGGCGACGGCGCUGCACCCAGCACACUGCAGGGGGGACAUGGGAGGGUCUUUUCCCAUCGGCGCCUCCCCAGAGCCCCGGGAGAAGCCGGCGUCUCUGCUGGAUUCCUGCGGCUCGCUCUGGGCAUUCCCUGCCUCCUUUUCCCGGUGCUGCCUCCUUCCCUCCCGGGCACUGCCCGCAUCCCUCCCCGGGCAUCCUCUGCAUCCCUGCCUGGGCAGAGCCUCUUUCCCUCCCCGGCCGCUGCCUGCAUCCCUGCCUGUGCUCUGCCUGCCUCCCUCCCUCCAUCCCUCCCUCCAUCCCUCCCUCCAUCCCUCCCCAGGCUCUGCCCGCCUCCCGCCUGGGCAUCCCCGCCAUCCCACCGGGCGCUGCCUCCAUCCCUGCCCGGACACCGCCGGCCCCCCCGCCGUGCCCCGGCCGGGCUCCCCGCUCCCCGCCGCCGCCCCCCGGUGUCACCGCGCCGGGCGGGGGCCGGGCCGGGCCGGGGCUCUGCAGCGGGGCCGCCCGCCCCGCGCCGGGCUCGCCGCAUGGCUCCGCCGCCCGCCGGGGCGCCGCCGGCCCGGGCCGCCGCUGCCAGGUACGGGGGAUCCGCCGGGAAGGGCAGGACGGGGAGGGGGUAAAGUUACGGCUGGGCAGGGCCGGGGUGGCCGGGAUGAGGGGACAAGGGGGUCCCCAGUGAAAGUUGAGCGCCGGUGCUCCCCGCUCCCCUUCGCCCGCCGGCACGGCGGGUGCGGGUGUCGUCUCCCCCCCGGCAUCCCCCGAUCACUUCCAGCCCCAGCAAGCCCGCGGGCAGGGGGUGUUGCGCUGCCCACGGCGGCCGGAGCAUCCCCAGGAGGGUCGGGAUGCGGGGGGCGGGGGGCGGCAUGCGGGGGGUGCGGGAUGCGGGGGGUGCGGGAUGCGGGGGGUGCGGGAUGUGGGGUGCGGGAUGCCGCCGCCGCUCCCGCCCCACGGGGCUCAGGGGUCGCUCCUUCCAGUGCCCCCGGCGUGGCGGGGUGGCCAAGGUCGCAGCGGGGGCCGGAGCUCCCUUUGCUGGGAGCCCCCUGCGUGCCCCCGCCCGGCCCUGCAGCCCGCGGAGCCCGGCCUGGUGCUGAGCGCCCGGGGAUCGCGGCUGGUCCCUGCUCCACCACCCCACCGUGGGGUGCCCCGAAGGGUCCCCCCGCUGCGCCUCAGUUUCCCCCGGUAGCUGCAUGUAGGGCCGGGGACCGUCAGGUCGGCCUCUGA